CAGCGCACUGCUCAUCGUCUCUAGGGGAAGACAGGUCAUCCUUCUCCUCACUGUCCUGAAGGGGGCGCUCCUCUGGGCUUGAGACAGGUGCUCUAGUCUCACACUCAGCGCACUGCUCAUCGUCUCUAGGGGAAGACAGGUCAUCCUCCUCCUUCUCCUCACUGUCCUGAAGGGGGCGCUCCUCUGGGCUUGAGAC